GCUUCCUUGGCUCAGUUGGCUAGAGCGCAGGUCUCAUACGACGAGUAUGAGUAACUUCGGUUACGUAAUCCUGAGGUCGCAAGUUCGAGCCUUGCAGGGAGCA